rnacentral:rRNA from 1 species
AGCGGCGGACGGGNGAGUAACGCGUGGGUAACCUGCCCUGUACACACGGAUAACAUACCGAAAGGUAUGCUAAUACGAGAUAAUAUACUUUUAUCGCAUGGUAGAAGUAUCAAAGCUCCGGCGGUACAGGAUGGACCCGCGUCUGAUUAGCUAGUUGGUAAGGUAACGGCUUACCAAGGCGGCGAUCAGUAGCCGACCUGAGAGGGUGAUCGGCCACAUUGGAACUGAGACACGGUCCAGACUCCUACGGGAGGCAGCAUG